GGUGGUAAUGCCGGAUGUUCCACAUGAUCGCAUGUGAUUGUGGGAAAGAUUCUAUCGGCGUGGGAUGGGGUCGCGUCCUAUCAGCUUGUUGGUGAGGUAACGGCUCACCAAGGCUUCGACGGGUAGCCGGCCUGAGAGGGCGACCGGCCACAUUGGGACUGAGAUACGGCCCAGACUCCUACGGGAGGCAGCAGUGGGGAAUAUUGCACAAUGGGCGCAAGCCUGAUGCAGCGACGCCGCGUGAGGGAUGGAGGCCUUCGGGUUGUAAACCUCUUUUGUUUGGGAGCAAGCCUUCGGGUGAGUGUACCUUUCGAAUAAGCGCCGGCUAACUACGUGCCAGCAGCCGCGGUAAUACGUAGGGCGCAAGCGUUAUCCGGAUUUAUUGGGCGUAAAGGGCUCGUAGGCGGCUCGUCGCGUCCGGUGUGAAAGUCCAUCGCUUAACGGUGGAUCUGCGCCGGGUACGGGCGGGCUGGAGUGCGGUAGGGGAGACUGGAAUUCCCGGUGUAACGGUGGAAUGUGUAGAUAUCGGAAAAGAACACCA
rnacentral:rRNA from 1 species